AAUCAUUGUAAGCCGCUCUGAUAGCCUUUAGGGCUGAAGGGUGGGGUAUAAAUACCAUAAUAAUAAUAAUAAUAAACCUGUGUAAAAGGCUGCAGCCUUCCUUUACAAAAAAAAAGCCAUCUAGUCUUGAAUUGAUCAAAUUUUGCAAAUGGAUAAAAAAUAUUUGUGGCACAAGCAACAUACUUUGUAGGUUUUGCACAUGCGCAUCGCUGCAAGAAGGACCGGCGCUGCAUUUGACUGCUUUGGCAGUCUUCAGUCAUCUAGAAAUUUUUUCCACAUCCAUGGAGAUCCUGUGCCUCUAAUCUCAGCGAAUGUGGAAGGACGAGUGUACAGUAUAGUCUUCAACAUCCCAGGAUAAGCUGGCUGAAUACAACUUCAUGAGAGGUCCACAAAUCAAGCAUAGAAAACAAGCGCUGCAAAAUAUUUCACAGCACUUACUCAUUAAGACCAAAAAUUAGUGCCAAAACUAAACAGUUCAAGUGAUUUCUCCAGAUGGAGAAAUCCCCGCAGCCCACCUUGGAUGUGCAGAAAGGAACAAGACAUGAAACAAUGAGUUUACCAAUGGGCUGUUGAACGCCUUUGUAUGAUGUUUUCCCUUUUGGUAUGAAACAGUUUUGCUCAUGUUCGUCUAUUUGGCAGGGGCUUUGAAUAAAACCAGUUAACACA